rnacentral:misc_RNA from 1 species
CGUCACUUCCUUGUGCGACCUCGCCCUUUCGUUUGCGCAUAUUGAUUUCCUUAUUCCUUUACCUCCCCAAUUCUCAGCUUGUUCGACCGCCCCUCCCUCUCGUCGUCGUCAUCUCUGUGAACCCACCAACUUGAGUGCGUGUGUGGUUGCCGCUAACGUCUUAAUACAUCCUUACCUGUGUUUCCUCUCCCCCUCCCCUCUCCCUUCCUUCCUUUUCUAAACGUCUUUCUUUGUGGUUCUGCGCACGCGUGCAAGUACGGACACCGAAGUCAUUGGGAUCAUCACGCACAAGAAGAGAGCGUGUGUGUUUUGUGUGUGUGUGUGUGUGUGUGUGUGAGGGAGCCAUGCAGAGCUGGAUCUCCCCCGCGGCGCCGCCCGGGACGCCCAGCCUUUCAGCCGAGCCCAGCAUCAUGGCCGAGUACCUCUUCUUUCCCUUUUACGACUACGUCGUGCAGUUCUACCCACAGUCGUGGGUGCCCAACAAGGUCACCUUGGUUGGUAUCUUCUCCACCAUCUCCGCGUCCGUUCUGCUUCUCAGCUCCAUGCCGGCGGGGUUGCAGUUCCAGCCUGGCAGGAUGCAGCUGCUGCCCGCCUCCCUCGUCGAGGACGUGGCGAUGCUGCGAAUGCCACCGCUGUCGCUGACAGAGAUGACGCCGAUCCUGCCGUUCAUAUCGCCUACCCUCAUGCUCAUCCUGUGCGGGUCGCUAAAUCUACUCUACUGCGUUGCCGACAACACGGACGGCCGCCUCGCUCGUCGCGACAAGAAGACCAGCGUCAUUGGCGAGUAUCUUGAUCACGGGCUCGACUGUGUUACGUCACUCCUGUCGACGUGCUGCGUCUUCGCGCUGCUCGGGUCACUCUGCAACAUGGUCACCUCUGUUUGCCUCAUCGCCUUCGUCACGGUGCUCUCCCACACGCUGCACUUCGAGAAGAACAUUUUUAUAUGGGGCAACCGAAUCGCCACCGUCGAUGAGGCGAUGAUCCUCUUCGGUGUGUGCAUGUGGUUGCCGCUUAUAUGCCCAGCGGUGAGCACCGCCACGGUGCCCGGGUGGAUCCUCGAGAACGUAUUUGGUCCGGACAGCAGUUGGACCGCCUAUCUGCGCCGGCUGCGCAUGAUCGAGCUCCUCUACGUCUUCUGCAGCGUGGCGCAGACGCAUACGAUCUUCAGCAUGGUGAGGCAAUGCUGGAGCAUGCUGUGCCGCAUCCACGUCAUCUUCAGCGUGUUGAACAGUGCUCUGCUUGUGCUGCUGAUGGGGGUGCACAGCGAGCGCAUUGCCGCCGCCGCGCCCGUCACGUCGGUGCCUGGGUACACACUGGGGCCCUUCACGUACCCUGCUCUGUGGAUCAUUACAAUCGCCUGUACCUCGAGCACAAUCAUCCACAUCCCCAUCGUGGCACGCUGCGCUCGCCUGCCUACCACGGACCCGCUGCCUCUGGCGGGUGUGAUGUUGGUGUGGUUCGCCUUUGUUUCCUGUCCAGUUGCUGGUGCCGUUCUCGCUGUGGUCCUCCACGUUGUGCAGCUGUUGCUGAACGUGGAUUUCAUCCAGCGGCACGCGCGUGGAAAAGGUGCGGAGUAAGCACGUCAAGGCACGUUUUGGUUUGGUUUCCUCGUUAGAGGCACCCUAGGAUACCAAAUGCGGAUGCCAACGGCAGCGGCACUGUCCGCCCCCAGCAGGGCCGCGUCGCGGAUCACUCGCAGUAUUGUAUAGAUGCGGUUCAAGUCUUUCGGCGUUGGUGGCGGUGGUGAUUCCGGCACGCGGGCGUCUGUCUGUCUGUCUGUCUGAUCCUCCCCCCUCCUUCGCACACACGCACACGCUUGGCAAGCAGGGGGCAUUUCAGGUGGCGCGGAGGGGAGGGAUAUCAUCGCCCGUACGCACGUGUACAGGUGCGCUUUUUGUCGGUUUUUGUGUAUGGGGCGUGUUCUUGCCCUCACCCCACCCCCAAAGUGGCACGGCGGGCGGGGAAGGGAAGGAGCUCGGUGUGUCGAAUGCUGAGCAUAGGUGAGGGUGCGAGUUGGCCUGCAAUGAUGCUUUCCUCGCCCACUCCCCUCUCCCUCCCUUUCGCCAUCUCCCUCACAUGUUUUGGGUGUUUCAAGGUGCGGAAAGACGCAGCAGAUAGGGCAAGGUGUCGAGGCAAGCUUUCUCUGUGUGUGCGUGUGUCCCCCAUCUCGCGACAG